rnacentral:tRNA from 1 species
UCCCGCUUAGCUCAGUUGGUUAGAGCAUCUGACUGUUAAUCAGAGGGUCCGCAGUUCGAGUCUGCGAGCGGGAGCCA